GCUGCAUGCUCUGGCUGCUAUUGACUUCCUAACCCUCUCAGGAUAGGGAAAGGAAACUGCGCGUAACCACCCGUGUCCCCGGCCUUGUUUUACCUGCCGUAUGCGAAACGCCUGUCUUUAUGGUGAUCUCCAAAAGUGUCCCAAAGCCUGAGGGAGAUGCUCACUUCAUCAACAACAUCCCUGGACCGCUCCAGGACCUGUAGGAGGCAGAAAGAAAGUGUGAGGCAGGGGUGUGGGAGGGAAAGGGAGGAAUGCUCAAAAGUGUUCUCCAGGGGCACCCCCCCUCCCCCGCCCCCCAGGCCUUUCCAACAUCUAGUGGGACUCAAGACAACUAAUUCACCAUCUCCAUCAUGUGACUCAAACUUCCAUUGGUGCACUACAGCCACGCCCUCAGCCACGCCCUCAAGUUUGUCCUUUGCGCUUUUUUUUCCCACUCCACUCCGCCCCCACGCCCCCAAUCACCAAUCAGGUCACUUCUGCUUUAUGUAUGGGAUAUAGCUACCUGCCUCAUUUAUUUUACUCGGACUAAUAAAGAGCCAACAACAGUGAUGGCCAAAGUAUUCUUUUAAAA
rnacentral:lncRNA from 1 species